rnacentral:rRNA from 1 species
UACGGAGGGUGCGAGCGUUGUCCGGAAUCAUUGGGCGUAAAGGGCGCGUAGGUGGCCCGGUCAGUCUUUGGUGAAAGCGCGGGGCUCAACCCUGCGUCGGCCAGGGAUACUGCCGCGGCUCGAGCACUGUAGAGGCAGGCGGAAUUCCGGGUGUAGCGGUGGAAUGCGUAGAUAUCGUAAGGAAGACCAGUGGCGAAGGCGGGUCUCUGGACAGUUCCUGACGCUGAGGCACGAAGGUCAGGGGAGCAAACGGG